rnacentral:rRNA from 1 species
AAAAACACAGCACUGUGCAAAAUCGUAAGAUGACGUAUACGGUGUGACGCCUGCCCGGUGCCGGAAGGUUAAUUGAUGGGGUUAGACUUCGGUCGAAGCUCUUGAUCGAAGCCCCGGUAAACGGCGGCCGUAACUAUAACGGUCCUAAGGUAGCGAAAUUCCUUGUCGGGUAAGUUCCGACCUGCACGAAUGGCGUAAUGAUGGCCACGCUGUCUCCACCCGAGACUCAGUGAAAUUGAAAUCGCUGUGAAGAUGCAGUGUACCCGCGGCUAGACGGAAAGACCCCGUGAACCUUUACUACAGCUUGGCACUGAACAUUGACCCUACAUGUGUAGGAUAGGUGGGAGGCUUUGAAGCACGUACGCCAGUAUGUGUGGAGCCGUCCUUGAAAUACCACCCUUGUAGUGUUGAUGUUCUAACGUCGACCCCUGAUCGGGGUUGCGGACAGUGCCUGGUGGGUAGUUUGACUGGGGCGGUCUCCUCCCAAAGAGUAACGGAGGAGCACGAAGGUGGGCUAAUCACGGUUGGACAUCGUGAGGUUAGUGCAAUGGCAUAAGCCCGCUUGACUGCGAGAAUGACAAUUCGAGCAGGUGCGAAAGCAGGUCAUAGUGAUCCGGUGGUUCUGAAUGGAAGGGCCAUCGCUCAACGGAUAAAAGGUACUCCGGGGAUAACAGGCUGAUACCGCCCAAGAGUUCAUAUCGACGGCGGUGUUUGGCACCUCGAUGUCGGCUCAUCACAUCCUGGGGCUGAAGUCGGUCCCAAGGGUAUGGCUGUUCGCCAUUUAAAGUGGUACGCGAGCUGGGUUUAGAACGUCGUGAGACAGUUCGGUCCCUAUCUGCCGUGGGCGUUGGAAGAUUGAAGGGGGCUGCUCCUAGUACGAGAGGACCGGAGUGGACGAACCUCUGGUGUUCGGGUUGUGUCGCCAGACGCAUUGCCCGGUAGCUAAGUUCGGAAUCGAUAACCGCUGAAAGCAUCUAAGCGGGAAGCGAGCCCUGAGAUGAGUCUUCCCUGAUACUUUAAGUAUCCUAAAGGGUUGUCGGAGACUACGACGUUGAUAGGUCAGGUGUGUAAGUGCUGUGAGGCAUUGAGCUAACUGAUACUAAUUGCCCGUGAGGCUUAACCAUACAACACCCAAGGGGUUU